rnacentral:rRNA from 1 species
CAGUCGCCGCGGUAAUACGUAGGUGGCAAGCGUUGUCCGGAAUUAUUGGGCGUAAAGGGCUCGCAGGCGGUUUCUUAAGUCUGAUGUGAAAGCCCCCGGCUCAACCGGGGAGGGUCACUGGAAACUGGGAAACUUGAGUGCAGAAGAGGAGAGUGGAAUUCCACGUGUAGCGGUGAAAUGCGUAGAGACGUGGAGGAACACCAGUGGCGAAGGCGACUCUCUGGUCUGUAACUGACGCUGAGGAGCGAAAGCGUGGGGAGCGAACAGGAUUAGAUACCCGAGUAGUCCCUGUCUCUUAUAC